GCCGUACCAUGCUGAAUAUAUAGGUUCUCAUUUGAUCACCGAAGUUAAGCAUCAUCAGGCGCUGUCAGUACUUGGGAAGGUGACCACUUGGGAACACCGCGUGCCGUUG
rnacentral:rRNA from 1 species